AAGUCACGUUCAAACUGAAAAACGAAUUGCAUGUUCAUCAAAUAGCUUUAUUUUGUCUCACUUCAAACGAAACAUGCGUGAUUUUCAAAUAAAAUAAAAUUUCUCGGGGCGAAUGUGAUAGAAUUCUUUUUCAAGGAAGAUAAGGAAAUAUUAACAGUAAGAUCAUUUUUCUACGAUGAAUCUUCGGCUUUUUCCGGUAAAAUUCGUUGUUCACCGGGACGAUGAUAAGUGAUGUGUGGAAACGAGGUUUAACGUACAAAGCGCGGCCCACGAGGUUGUAAGGUACGACUUGAGGGUGAAUGGCAACAAGUAGAUGUAGUGAACUGCUUUAAAAUAUUGCUUACUUUUGUGCGUGAUAUCUGUUCAAGACCUCAACUGCUCGUUAGAAAAGCGUAGACUCAUACUACGCGCUGUUUCGCCCCAUUUUUAAAUGGGGUGAAACUUAAAAGUCUCAAGGUCGUUUCCAAGAUGGCGCUCCAGCUCCCCUAUUGAUAACCGACGCAAGGUGAAAACUCCAGACAACUCUUCCUAAAAGAGAAAGGUCAAAGUGAAUAACAGUUCAGAGAAAGGCAAACCGGUCAGUGGUGCAUUUCAUGAGCCAAUGCAGGAUGUGUCCGACAAGAUUUGAGGGUAGAUUUUACUGGGUGUGCUGUCAUCGUUGUUUUCAUCGUCACAUCAUGCUAGAAAAGCUGCCCUGGAUUCUUACUCUCAAUUUACCUUGAACAAAGGAGCUUUUGAAUGGAGAAACUUGCAAAGCUUGGUGUGGUUUUCUUUUGGGGGAGUGAAUGGCAUAAGAAAUUUGCACAGCUUUUAUUUUUGUGGUUCCUAUUUGUGUUUGUAAUGAGGUACACUGCCAAGACCUAACCAAGCAAGGUUUUUGAGAAUACCAGUGGUUUAAAGCAGGCAGGUUAAAGAUCAGAAGUUGAGGCACUGUCAUGGUUGUGAUUUGGGAUCAAGUGUUAUGCUCCUUUAGUUUACAAGGUAAUUACAGGGCGUGAAAUUGCACCUAAUACAGGCGCCAAUGCGACAAAUUUUUUUACUUUGGCAACCAAAUCCUGAAAAUUAGUUGCCAAAUUGGCAAGUAGAAUGUUUUAUCAUAACCUUACUUAGAGAUAUAGUAAAUUAAAAAGAUUUGCAAAGAUAAAUCCGCAGCAAACUUCCUCGUUAAGUUUGUUUCCAAAACACAGCACAUGCAUCUCAAUUGAUAACUAGAUUUAGGAUGGAUUUAGGCGAGCUUAAACAUUGCAUAUCAUCCAUUCUAUUGUCCACUUUGUAGUACGUUAAAGAUCUUUUCCCUAACUUAAUUUCUAGAACGAUGACAGUGUAAAAAAAAGGGUUUGUUUGACUUUGAAAAUGACAACCAACUUUUUUUUAAUUGGCUACCACUUUGAAUAAUCUAGGAGCCAAGUGGCUAUCAGAAAAAAAAUCAAUUUCACGCCCUGAAUUAUUGUAUUUGCAUUGUGUUUGCAUAUCCUGAAGACUAAAAGUUUGUGGAAAACCAGAGCAGUUGCCUCUCUUAGAGUUCAAGUUCUAUUGUAAAGGGGGCUUUGGUCAAAAAGAAAAAUAAAAGGAAAAUGAAAGUUGUAUUCAUAUUUUUCUAGGUUCAUCAAAUUUGAUUCUGCCAUGGAAAUCAUGGGAACAGAUGGACAAUAAUUUUCUCAGAAUACAUUUAGCAAGGUUGUCUUUGAACAAGAGCUGUGUAACUGGAAUGUCUUGCAACCAAGACUGGGCCUGAUUUCUUCUCUGUAUACUGAUUAAUUCACAGUGAUAAUAAAAUUUUCAAACAGUA
rnacentral:lncRNA from 1 species